ACAAUAUAGGGCUCUUUUGGGUCUUAUAAUUGGAAUGAGUACAAUUUAAAUCCCUUAACGAGGAUCAAUUGGAGGGCNAGUCUGGUGCCAGCAGCCGCGGUAAUUCCAGCUCCAAUAGCGUAUAUUAAAGUUGUUGCCGUUAAAAAGCUCGNAGUCGAACUUCGGCUUCUGCCGCCCGGUCCGCCUUUUUGGGUGUGUACUGGAGCGGNGGAGGCUUACCUCGUGGUGAGCAAUCAUACCCUUCACUGGGCGUGGUUGGGAACCAUGAUUUUUACUUUGAAAAAAUUAGAGUGUUCAAAGCAGGCUUACGCCCGAAUACAUUAGCAUGGAAUAAUAAAAUAGGACGUGCGGNUCUAUUUUGUUGGUUUCUAGGAUCGCCNNAAUGAUUAAUAGGGAUAGUUGGGGGCAUUCGUAUUCNAUUGCUAGAGGUGAAAUUCUUGGAUUUAUUGAAGACNAACUACUGCGAAAGCAUUUGCCAAGGAUGUUUUCAUUGAUCAAGAACGAAGGUUAGGGGAUCGAAAACGAUCANAUACCGUUGUAGUCUUAACAGUAAACGAUGCCGACUAGGGAUCGGACGANGAUUUUUAAUGACUCGUUCGGCACCUGAAGAGAAAUCU
rnacentral:rRNA from 1 species